rnacentral:rRNA from 1 species
AGGACGAACGCUGGCGGCGUGCUUAACACAUGCAAGUCGAACGGUGAACCGGGCUUCGGCCCGGGGAUCAGUGGCGAACGGGUGCGUAACACGUGGGCAACCUGCCCCCGACACUGGGAUAACUCCGGGAAACCGGGGCUAAUACCGGAUACUCCGACCGAACCUCAUGGCUCAGUCGGGAAAGGUCCGCCGAUCGGGGAUGGGCCCGCGGCCUAUCAGCUAGUUGGUGGGGUAACGCUCACCAAGGCGACGACGCGUAGCCGGACUGAGAGGUUGGCCGGCCUCAUUGGGACUGAGACACUGCCCAGACUCCUACGGGGGGCUGCAGUAACGAAUCUUCCGCAAUGCACGCAAGUGUGACGGAGCGACGCCGCGUGUGGGACGAAGCCCGUUCGGGGUGUAAACCACUGUCGAGGGGUUACCAAGUUCUGAGGAGCCCCAGAGGAAGGCACGGCUAACUCUGUGCCAGCAGCCGAC